GGGAUGUUGAAGAUGGCUGGAUACAUGUGAUGGCUACUUUUUGUGUUGGCUUAUUAAUGGUUGUAGAUGGUUCCAGUUCAAUAUUAAUUUCACCA